rnacentral:rRNA from 1 species
GACGAACGCUGGCGGCGUGCCUAACACAUGCAAGUCGAGCGGGAACCUCAGGAGGGGUAACCCUCCUGAGGGGAGAGCGGCGAACGGGUGAGUAACACGUGGGCAACCUGCCCCGGACACCGGGAUAACCCAGGGAAACCUGAGCUAAUACCGGAUACUCCGGCGCGAUCGCAUGGUCGCGCCGGGAAAGCUCCGACGGUCCGGGAUGGGCCCGCGGCCUAUCAGCUUGUUGGUGGGGUAACGGCCCACCAAGGCGACGACGGGUAGCUGGUCUGAGAGGACGGCCAGCCACACUGGGACUGAGACACGGCCCAGACUCCUACGGGAGGCAGCAGUGGGGGAUCUUGCGCUAAUGCGCGAAAGCGUGACGCAGCGACGCCGCGUGGGGGAUGAAGGCCCUCGGGUUGUAAACCCCUUUCGGCAGGGACGAAGCGAAAGUGACGGUACCUGCAGAAGAAGUCCCGGCUAACUACGUGCCAGCAGCCGCCGCGGUAA